AUGAACGCUGGCGGUAUGCUUAACACAUGCAAGUCGAACGGGAUGCUUCGGCAUCUAGUGGCGGACGGGUGAGUAACGCGUGAGAAUCUGGCUUCAGGUUCGGGACAACAGUGGGAAACUGCUGCUAAUACCGGAUGUGCAGGAAUGUGAAAGAUUAAUUGCCUGAAAGAUGAGCUCGCGUCUGAUUAGCUAGUUGGUGGGGUAAGAGCCCACCAAGGCGACGAUCAGUAACUG
rnacentral:rRNA from 1 species